CCUACGGGAGGCAGCAGUAGGGAAUAUUGCUCAAUGGGGGAAACCCUGAAGCAGCAACGCCGCGUGGAGGAUGAAGGUUUUCGGUUUGUAAACUCCUUUUGUUAGAGAAGAAAAUGACGGUAUCUAACGAAUAAGCACCGGCUAACUCCGUGCCAGCAGCCGCGGUAAUACGGAGGGGGCAAGCGUUACUCGGAUUCACUGGGCGUAAAGAGCGCGUAGGCGGGAGAGCAAGUCAGGUGUGAAAUCCUAGGGCUUAACCAUAGGACUGCAUUUGAAACUGUUAUGCUAGAGUGUGGGAGAGGUAGGUGGAAUUCCUGGUGUAGCGGUGAAAUGCGUAGAUAUCAAGAGGAGUAC
rnacentral:rRNA from 1 species